rnacentral:lncRNA from 1 species
CUCUUUCAAAAUUCCUACAUAGAUAAUACUUAAGGGACUUUCUGAAGAAUUUCUCUUAGUUGCCAAAGAAGCAGUAGGCAGCCUUGGUCACACCUUAGACACUGGCCUUGACAAUGGACACUCUCUGGAGCCUCAGUUUGCAUGGCCAUGAACUCAGGCACUGGUUGGGAGCUUGAACUCAGAGUGUCCAACCUCAUGACAAAUGUGAAGAAAUUUGUGUACAUUACUUAUCUAUACCUACCUAUCAACUAUUAAUUUUGCCUAUAGACUACUCACUGUAUCAAAAAUUGCCCAACUUUAAACUUACAUUAUUCUUUCAUGGAUAACUCGCUAAUAUUGAUCUUAAGAGAUUAAUUUUGAUUAUGCAUUGAACUGAUCAGAUAAGAGGUACUUGCCUCUGAAUCUAUACUACCAACAAAGGCACACUCAAAUUCUAACGUCUUCAACAAUUCUAACGUCUUCAACAAGACAUGUGAUAAAUUUGAACAUCAUCAAGCUAUGGACCUAAACACAUCUGUCAAUGGGUACAAUUCAAUAUCUGUGUCCACAUCUGCUCAUAAUCUAUGUUUAGAUCAAAUUGUCAUUGCUGUUCUUUCUCAGCAGCAACUAAUUUUUUCUUAGCUAAUAUUAUUUUGGAGCAAGAAUUUAGCAAAGCAGCUUCAUGAGUAGGCUACAAAGCUCUCCUUCCAACACUUCCAAACUAACCUACAACCUACACAAAUGGAUCUUCUUUGGCAUUGGCUUUAUUAGAGAACUUGUUAAUGUAAAUUUCACUCCUCAAUCCCAAUUACAAGAUGGCCUCAAUGAAGAAUUGCUUGUAAUUGGUGGUAUGAAGGGAAGUAAGCAAUUAACAAGAACAAAAGAUGAACAACCACAAAACAAUUGAAAUGAAUGACAUGAAGCAAGUACACAAUCAAAAACUAAGUCACAAUUUGUUCAUUGUAUUUUUAUCUGGUAAAAAGUAAAAGUAAAAAGAAAAAAGUAAGUUUUUAGAUAGUUAAAUUUAUUAUCUUUCCAAUGACGUAAGGAACAUAUAAAUCCGAAUUACUAUGAGUAAGUUAUAAAGUUUUAAAAAAAAGGAAGUAAAUAAUUAAAAGUGAAGUGAAAAUAUUUUACCUCAAGGGUAACUUGCUUAUAGAUCAAGGGUUCGAGCUUCACCA